rnacentral:rRNA from 1 species
UGUAAUUUGCAGAGGGCGCUUUGGCUUUGGCAGCGGUCCAAGUUCCUUGGAACAGGACGUCACAGAGGGUGAGAAUCCCGUACGUGGUCGCUAGCUAUCGCCGUGUAAAGCCCCUUCGACGAGUCGAGUUGUUUGGGAAUGCAGCUCUAAAUGGGAGGUAAAUUUCUUCUAAAGCUAAAUAUUGGCCAGAGACCGAUAGCGCACAAGUAGAGUGAUCGAAAGAUGAAAAGCACUUUGGAAAGAGAGUCAAACAGCACGUGAAAUUGUUGAAAGGGAAGCGCUUGCAGCCAGACUUGCUUGCAGUUGCUCAUCCGGGCUUUUGCCCGGUGCACUCUUCUGUAGGCAGGCCAGCAUCAGUUUGGGCGGUGGGAUAAAGGUCUCUGUCACGUACCUCUCUUCGGGGAGGCCUUAUAGGGGAGACGACAUACCACCAGCCUAGACUGAGGUCCGCGCAUCUGCUAGGAUGCUGGCGUAAUGGCUGUAAGCGGCCCGUCUUGAAACACGGACCAAGGAGUCUAACAUCUAUGCGAGUGUUUGGGUGUCAAGCCCGAGCGCGUAAUGAAAGUGAACGGAGGUGGGAACCCGCAAGGGUGCACCAUCGACCGAUCCUGAAGUUUUCGGAAGGAUUUGAGUAAGAGCAUGGCUGUUGGGACCCGAAAGAUGGUGAACUAUGCUUGAAUAGGGUGAAGCCAGAGGAAACUCUGGUGGAGGCUCGCAGCGGUUCUGACGUGCAAAUCGAUCGUCAAAUUUGGGCAUAGGGGCGAAAGACUAAUCGAACUAUCUAGUAGCUGGUUCCUGCCGAAGUUUCCCUCAGGAUAGCAGUAACGUAUUCAGUUUUAUGAGGUAAAGCGAAUGAUUA